AGGUACCACCCGUACACUCUGGUGCUGCGCGCCAUCCGCACCCACCUGACGACUGCGCGCUACGGUUUGUUAGCC
rnacentral:sRNA from 1 species